rnacentral:lncRNA from 1 species
AAUUUUCCUACUUGUAAUCAAACGCACCCUUAGUGAAAUAGGGGGCUGUAACUAUACUCCUUUUUGUUGGCUCAAAUGUUCCCCCAUUAGGCUUCAAUAAUGUAGCAUUUUAGUACUUCAAAUUUUGAAAAUUAACUAUACUCUUUUUCACUUAGGUUUUUUUUUUUUUUUUUUUUUUUUUUGAGUAGCUUAUUUUAGAACUUGACAAAUAGAAGGUAAAAUUCGAGAAAAAGUUAAGUUUCAACUAAAAAGAAAAGUAAAUGUAGAUAUAAUUAUAUAAUAUUAAUAUUUAGCUAAUUGGAAACAAUCAUGCUACACGGUCAGAGUUAAUAAUAAAUUUUUUUUUUCCAGACAACACUUGUCAAGUUUUCAUUGGACAUUAGAAUAAGGAUACAAAAACACUCAAUCACAUUCUUUCAAAUCAUCCCUUUUUUUCCUGUUUUUAAUCCCUAAUUGAGUAGCUUGUUUCAAUCGGAAAUUCAUGGCUACUCCUUUUUGACUUGUAUUUUUCAAAAGUCUAGUGGUACGGUGGUAGAAUAGUUUGACCAAAGUGUAACGUGUUAACUAAAAAAUAACGUGACAAAAAUGAAUAAAAAAUGUGACGUGAAUUAAGUAGAAUCUUUGUUUGAUCAAUUACGCCCCUGUUUGGCCUCCAUUACGGGGAAAAUUUAAUGUAUAGAAUAGUAUUUUUUGAAAAAUGAGUGGUUGAAAAAGAAAGAAAAAUUUUCGAUUUACGUGUAAUAUUAUUUUAUGGAAGAUUGUGUGGUUGAAAAUAGGAGAGAGAAAAAUAGAAUGUAAUGUAAUGUAAUGUAAUGAAAAUCAAAUUUUAUUAGAUUAAUUUUAAGCCAUAAACAAGAUGGAUUCAAAUGUGAAAUACGUUUACAUUAAUUUCCAUUUUCACUUAGAGAUUGUAAUUUUUUAAAUAGAGCAUCGCUCUUAGGUAUUGUGCCGACAUCCUAGUUUUCUUUGUUGUUUUAUCGUUAGAAGCUUAAUAUUGAAGAAAAUCCAUUGAGGAAAACUUACGAAGAAAUAAUUGGCUAAAUAAAAUGAUGCAACUUUAACGAAAUUGAACUUACACGAGAAACUUGAAGUUCUCGGACCUAGAAUCCAGAUCGUCUAAAGGUGUAUACUUAUGCGAAAAAGAAAAUUAGCAAAAGAAAGUCAUGACUCUUAACAUAAAUUUUAUAAAGACUUAUAUAAAUAGACAAAUUAUCUCAUGCUAGAUGUUAUCAAAAAUUUAUAUCUUAUUACCUUGACAAUACAUGAAAGCUGAUGUGCAUAGCUAUGGUCAAAUCAUCUGGCUUGAUUAUUAAUACAUUACUAAAUGAUUUAAAAUGUCUGAAAUAUAUAAUUCAAGUAAUAUUAUCGUGGUAGAAGUAGUUAUGCGAUUUACUCUUUUUUCUUGAUCAAGGUUUUGUCUCAUUAAAUUUUUCUGAUAAUAUUUUAAUGAGGCUACUUUUUAAUGAAUUUUUUUCCACGAAAGAUUUUAAUGAAGCAUAUUAUUUGUUUAAUAAAUACCCAUGACCUACUAGAUAUUUACUAUCCAUAUAUAUAACUUUGCCUCUGUUUAUCACCCAUUAUUUGAAAAAAUAAAGUUUUUGAAUAAUAUAUGUUACUGAAUGUGUGGUUAAAAAAUAAAGAAAUUUUAUUAGUUUGCAUAUAAAAUAUUUUAUUGUGUAAAUGUGUGGUAGAGAAUAAUAUUGUAGUAAACAAUUUAAAACUUUAAAUGCCGUCAAACAGACCCUUUAUGAUUUUACUCUCAUAUGUUAUAACUUGUAUACAAGACUUUCGAAGAUAGCAACAAAAUUUCUUUUUAACUAUUGUAUUCGCUAAAGUCAAACAUGAUUAUGUGAAUAUAUUAUAUGAGAACAAUGCAGUUAUGUUGCACGACUCAAAUGAGAUUAUAUUAGAGAUGAUAAGACAAAGCAUAUUUUUUCAAAAUUUUUUCAUACACGUGAGUUUCAAAAGACUGGAAAUAUCGAUGUCCAAAAUUUCGUCCAAGCAACAAUGAGGCUAACUUUUUCAUAAAAGUAUUGACGACAUUUUUAUUCAAAAAAUUGGGGCACGAGAUAUGAAUUCAUUGACUCAAAAGAUUUCUAAUGGUCAGCAUUAUGAAAAGUAAAUGCACCAUUUUUCCUUCUCUGGUUUUAUCUCAUUGGAUUUUUAUUUUUUUGCAAUAUUUAAUGAGAUAACAUUUAUUUUUAAUCCUCCAAAAAUAAAUGUGCUAUUUUUUUUUUCUUUCGUUUGAUGUUUUUCCUACUAGAUUUAUUUCAAACAAGGUUUAAACAAAAUGGAUAUUGGGUAAUGAGUCAUUAAUGAGAAAUGUUGUAAAUUAUAUACUAAUUCGUGAAUGGUUAUUCUAUUUCUAUCCAUGCAACUCUUGUUACUAUGACUAUUGUAUCUCCUUCGGUCCUAAUUAUUUUCCGUAAUAUAGAAUUUUGGUCCACAAUAAAUUCACAUAAAUCUAUUAUCUUCUCUAUUUUCUUUCUAAUUUAUAAUAAUUUUUCGAUUUAUAAGGAAGAUUAGCUUUUUUUUCUCCCAUUCUUGCAAAACACUUUUUUUUUUACACACUCAUUUUCUACUACAUGUUCACAUAAUAUAAUAUUUUAUACGUAAAUUCAAAAUCUUUUCCUACUUUUUAGCCACACAUUAUCCAAAAAUUCACUAUUCAGAACAAUAUUUUUUUUUCCAAAAAAAAUGGCCGCCAGCCAACAAGGGCUUAUUAAUUUUUGAACUUUUACGAAAAAUUGGUUCCUACUGUACUAUUUAUAUCUAUAUGUGUUAGGACAUGCAAUAUGUGACGAAUUAGUGUUCAACCAAGCCAUCAAAACGAGGUUCGUUAUUUAUAUUUUUGCCAGUAGUACUUAUCAAAGAGAGUAUAUUAUUUUAGAGCUCAACAAAUACAAAGUAAAGUUAGAGAAAAAGUAAGUUUUCACUAAAAAAAGGUAAAUAUUGAAGUAAAAUAUCGAUCCAAUUAUUGUGGGGAUUAAAAUUAUUUUUAGUAAAUUUUGAUAAAAGUUAAUGAAAUAUGUGGUUGAAAAGUUAUAGGUUCCAUAAAAUUAUGUAUGGUUCAAAACAAUUGUUGACUUAAAUUUUAAUUCAAAAUUUAAUUUCAAUUUCCAUCAAACAAGGGUUAUGUAAUAUUAGUUUUUCGAUUAUGCUAAUGUGGUGGAAUAUGUUUGAUUUAGAAAUUUUUCAAAAAAAAUAAUAAUAAUAAAUAAAUAAAUAAGUGUGUGUGUGUGUAAAUUUUACACUAUUUUUAACACAUCACGUGUAUAUAAAUUAUUAUGUAACUCUAUUAUAUACAAGUAACAUUAUUUUUUAAUUUUUAGCUAAUCGAAAUUUUAUGACUAUUCCUUUUGGACUUGUAUUUCUCAAGACGCUCGUGGUACGAUAGUGUUGUAAUUUGAUUCAAAUUCUAGUGGGUAUAGGAGUUGUAUUUGAAGUGGUCUUAGAGAAAUCAAACUUAUGGAUCGAAAAAAUUAUCAUCGCAUUUUCGCUAGUCUGUUGCUCGAGUGACAUCAACGGAUUCUCAACAGAAAGCUCUUGCUCACUCGUCGCCUGACUGCAACUCGAGAGACGAUGUUUCCUGAAUAUUCGCAUUUUAACGCGUUUUGGACUCUUAUUUAUGUACAAGUUGUAACUUUAUUAUGUACAAGUAACAUUAUUUUUUAAUUUUUAGCUAAUCGAAAUUUUAUGACUAUUCCUUUUGGACUUGUAUUUCUCAAGAGUCUCGUGGUACGAUAGUGUUGUAAUUUGAUCCAAAUUCUAGUGGGUAUAGGAGUUGUAUUUGAAGUCGUCUUAGAGAAAUCAAACUUAUGGAUUGAAAAAAUUAUCACCUCAUGUUCUCUAGUCUGUUGCUUGAGUGACACCAACGGAUUCUCAACGGAAAGCUCUUGCUCACUCGUCGCCUGACUGCAACUCGAGAGACAAUGUUUCCCGAGUAUUCGCAUUUUAACGCGUUUUGAACUCUUAUUUAUCUACAACCUGAUUUCUAGGGUUUUAUAUAUAUAAAUCACGACUUGUAUUGAUUAAAUAACAUUCAUAUAACAUUUUGAGAACUUUAAUUUUUAGUUGAAAGUAUUGAGAUCUUGUUGUAAACACAAUUUCUAUUGAUUAUAGUGAAUUUUUUAUCAUCUACCCGUGGAUUUUUUCCUUCUUGGAUUACCAUAUAAAUUUUGAUGUUCUUAUUUAUUUCAUUAUUGUCAUAAUCUUUCGAUCAAUUGCAAUACAGAUAGUAGAAACGUAUGACGUGUGUAAACUCGUAAAUAGCGUGAGAAAACGAAGUUCAAGUAUUGCGUGAAUAAAGUAGAUUCUUCUUUGAUCAGUUACUACUUUAACGUAAAAUCAAAUUUUAAUUAGAUUCAUUCAUUCCUUCUUGAAUUCCCAUAUAAAUUUUGAUGUUCUUAUUUAUUUCAUUAUUGUCAUAAUCUUCCGAUCAAUUGCAAUACAGAUAGUAGAAACGUAUGACGUGUGUAAACUCGUAAAUAGCGUGAGAAAACAAAUUUCAAGUAUUGCGUGAAUAAAGUAGAUUCUUCUUUGAUCAGUUACUACUUUAACGUAAAAUCAAAUUUUAAUUAGAUUCAUUCAAGUCAUAAAGAUGUCGGAUUCACAUAUAAAACGUCGAUUUAGUUUCGAUCGAACCUUCACCUUUGUCGAAUCAAAAUUUGCUGAAAGCUCUUUUAACGUAGACGGUCAAUAUAUCUCCUCAAUGGGCCCCCACUACCCUAAUCAUCCAACGUACGAUUUAUCUGAUUUCAUUUCCACCGUCCGAUCUUAAAAUCCAAAAUAAAGUCUUGUCCUUCUCUCAAAGGUUGUAACCGUCUCUCUCUAUAAAUCAAGAAAAGCCACACACUCUCUCUCCCUCUCUCUAACAUAGUCAUACAGAUUUCUUUCUGUAUCUAUCACCUUCUCGAGAACUGAACACACACAAAAAAUGUGUGGACUCCAACGUACGAUUUAUCUGAUUUCAUUUCCACCGUCCGAUCUUAAAAUCCAAAAUAAAGUCUUGUCCUUCUCUCAAAGGUUGUAACCGUCUCUCUCUAUAAAUGAAGAAAAGCCACACACACUCUUCCCUCUCUCUAACAUAGUCAUACAGAUUUCUUUCUGUAUCUAUCACCUUCUCGAGAACUGAACACACACAAAAAAUGUGUGGAGGUGCAAUUAUUUCCGAUGAACCCAUCAUCAACAAGAGAGGAAAAUUAACCACAGAAGAAUUAUGGGCCGAAUUUGAUACAAUUUCUGAGUUCUGGGGCUUCAAUUCCUCUA